rnacentral:rRNA from 1 species
UGCAUAUCAAAUAAGCGGAGGAAAAGAAACCAACAGGGAUUGCCUUAGUAGCGGCGAGUGAAGCGGCAAAAGCUCAAAUUUGAAAUCUGGCUCUUUCAGAGUCCGAGUUGUAAUUUGAAGAAGGUAUCUUUGGGUCUGGCUCUUGUCUAUGUUUCUUGGAACAGAACGUCACAGAGGGUGAGAAUCCCGUGCGAUGAGAUGAUCCAGGCCUAUGUAAAGUUCCUUCGAAGAGUCGAGUUGUUUGGGAAUGCAGCUCUAAGUGGGUGGUAAAUUCCAUCUAAAGCUAAAUAUUGGCGAGAGACCGAUAGCGAACAAGUACAGUGAUGGAAAGAUGAAAAGAACUUUGAAAAGAGAGUGAAAAAGUACGUGAAAUUGUUGAAAGGGAAGGGCUUGAGAUCAGACUUGGUAUUUUGUAUGUUACUUCUUCGGGGGUGGCCUCUACAGUUUAUCGGGCCAGCAUCAGUUUGGGCGGUAGGAGAAUUGCGUUGGAAUGUGGCACGGCUUCGGUUGUGUGUUAUAGCCUUCGUCGAUACUGCCAGCCUAGACUGAGGACUGCGGUUUAUACCUAGGAUGUUGGCAUAAUGAUCUUAAGUCGCCCGUCUUGAAACACGGA